rnacentral:rRNA from 1 species
UACGGAGGGGGCUAGCGUUGUUCGGAAUUACUGGGCUUAAAGCGCACGUAGGCGGCUUCGUAAGUCAGAGGUGAAAGCCCGGGGCUCAACCCCGGAACUGCCUUUGAGACUGCGUCGCUCGAAUCCGGGAGAGGCGGGUGGAAUGUGGAGUGUAGAGGUGAAAUUCGUAGAUAUGUGGUAGAACACCAGUGGCGAAGGCGGCCCGCUGGACCGGCAUUGACGCUGAGGUGCGAAAGCGUGGGGAGCAAACAGG